CCCUUAGAUGUUCUGGGCCACACGCGCGCUACACUGAUGCGUUCAACAAGUUUCCUUGGCCGAGAGGCCUGGGCAAUCUUCUUAAUAUGUAUCGUGAUAGGGAUAGAUUAUUGCAAUUAUUAAUCUUGAACGAGGAAUUCCUAGUAAACGCAGAUCAUCAAUCUGCAUUGAUUACGUCCCUGCCCUUUGUACACACCGCCCGUCGCACCUACCGAUUGGAUGUUCCGGUGAAGCCUCGGGAUGAGGACUGGUGCCUUUAUUGGCAUGAGUUGUUCAGAACUUGUCUAAACCUUAUCAUCUAGAGGAAGGUGAAGUCGUAACA
rnacentral:rRNA from 1 species